rnacentral:rRNA from 1 species
UACGGGGGGGGCAAGCGUUGUUCGGAAUUACUGGGCGUAAAGGGCGCGUAGGCGGCCUUCUAAGUCAGACGUGAAAUCCCUCGGCUCAACCGAGGAACUGCGUCUGAUACUGGAAGGCUUGAAUCCGGGAGAGGGAUGUGGAAUUCCAGGUGUAGCGGUGAAAUGCGUAGAUAUCGGGAGGAACACCAGUGGCGAAGGCGGCGAUCUGGGAAGAUACUGACGCUGAGGUGCGAAAGCGUGGGGAGCAAACAGG